GUGCCUGCACAUCAUGUGAAGGGCUCCAUGCAGAAAAGGGAGAGGAAGCAGCAAACGAUGGACAAAUUGGCCCAUCUGAUGAGACUGAAAGAGGCUUCCCCCAUGUGAUGAGAUAUUCCAGUGGAUUUUUUUUCUGUGAACCCAUGGGAAAUUUGGGUUUUAAGGAGUGAUGUGCAGGAGGCGAUAAUGGUGGCAUUGCCAAGAGAAAGAGAGAGAGAGAGAGAGAGAGGAAUGGAGAGCAGCUCUACAAGGGUGAAAAGUGGGAGAGGACCAUGGAGAGGUCUUAACUCGAGGAAGAAAUUUAUGAAUUUGUGUGGUUAUGAAGCUGAAUACAGCUUUCAGCAUCCUUUGGAGUACAAUCAAGCUAUUUCCUUGUUUUCCCCCCAAAAUGGAUUCUAGAAACAAG
rnacentral:lncRNA from 11 species